CGGUAACAGGAAGCAGCUUGCUGCUUUGCUGACGAGUGGCGGACGGGUGAGUAAUGUCUGGGAAACUGCCUGAUGGAGGGGGAUAACUACUGGAAACGGUAGCUAAUACCGCAUAACGUCGCAAGACCAAAGAGGGGGACCUUCGGGCCUCUUGCCAUCAGAUGUGCCCAGAUGGGAUUAGCUUGUUGGUGGGGUAACGGCUCACCAAGGCGACGAUCCCUAGCUGGUCUGAGAGGAUGACCAGCCACACUGGAACUGAGACACGGUCCAGACUCCUACGGGAGGCAGCAGUGGGGAAUAUUGCACAAUGGGCGCAAGCCUGAUGCAGCCAUGCCGCGUGUAUGAAGAAGGCCUUCGGGUUGUAAAGUACUUUCAGCGGGGAGGAAGGUGCUGUGGUUAAUAACCGCAGCAAUUGACGUUACCCGCAGAAGAAGCACCGGCUAACUCCGUGCCAGCAGCCGCGGUAAUACGGAGGGUGCAAGCGUUAAUCGGAAUUACUGGGCGUAAAGCGCACGCAGGCGGUCUGUUAAAGUCAGAUGUGACAAUCCCCGGGCUCAACCUGGGAACUGCAUCUGAUACUGGCAGGCUUGAGUCUCGUAGAGGGGGGUAGAAUUCCAGGUGUACCGGUGAAAUGCGUUAGAGAUCUGGAGGAAUACCGGUGGCGAAGCAGGCACCCAUUGGACGAAGACUGACGCUCAGGUGCGUAAAGCGUGGGGUACCAAAUCAGGAUUAGAUACCCCUGGUAGUCCACGCCGUAAAC
rnacentral:rRNA from 1 species